GUGGGCUCGGCCCAGAGGGCUGUGGGCUUGGGUUCAAUAUUGAGCCCAAGAAGGUAUUCAACAGAACGAAGAGAGUCCAGCAAGGGCACUCACACGCAAAUUGAACUACAAUUUGGCCCAAAAUGCUAGGCUUCUUGGGCUAUGAGGCCUGGCUUUUUUGGGCCAUAAAGAUGGUUGGCCCAAAUUUAUAGAAUUGGUUGGGCUAGAAUGACCCUAACCCUAUUAGGAUCACCUGCAACACGCGUGAAAAUGCAACGGAGACAACGAGCGCGGGAGUCAAACUGCCAUCCAGAGAAACAACAACCCAUCAAUAAAUUAUCGAGUGAUUGGGAAGGAAAAAAAAAAACCAGAUCUGCAUAUCUUAUUCCCUGAAAACCCAGCAAUUUGAUCAUCUGAAAUUUUUUGAUAAUAUAUAUAUAAUGGCAAAACUUGAACCACUUGAUCAGGAACCAAGCAAGAAGAAGAAGGCCAACCAUGGUUCCAACAACUUGUUUGUUUUCAUUGAUUAUCUCUUCCUCCUCAUAUUCCUCGGCUUCCUCACUUUCGUACUCUUCAAGAUCAUUUCUGCCAUUUGAAUGAGGGCAUUCUCUAUGGCUUAUCUAUGUCUCCAUGUUGGAUUCAGCUCUGACCAUUAAGGGCUUUGCUGUAAUUGGCUUGGUCAGAUUCACAUUCCAUAAUUAUAGAUUCUUUGUCAUAUUCCUUUAUAUUCAGGAAUCCCUUAAUUUUAAGGUCUCAAGAACUAGAUACUUAUUGUUUACCCUCUCAUAUUAUGAGUUCAUAUCCUAUCUUAUAAGUGGAUAAUCAUCCUUUUAUCACGUCAAGAAAAUAUACAAAAUCUAAUUCAAAGCUAAA